UCCAGAGUUUGAUCCUGGCUCAGGAUGAACGCUGGCGGCGUGCCUAAUACAUGCAAGUCGAGCGAACAGAUAAGGAGCUUGCUCCUUUGACGUUAGCGGCGGACGGGUGAGUAACACGUGGGUAACCUACCUAUAAGACUGGGAUAACUUCGGGAAACCGGAGCUAAUACCGGAUAAUAUUUCGAACCGCAUGGUUCGAUAGUGAAAGAUGGUUUUGCUAUCACUUAUAGAUGGACCCGCGCCGUAUUAGCUAGUUGGUAAGGUAACGGCUUACCAAGGCGACGAUACGUAGCCGACCUGAGAGGGUGAUCGGCCACAC
rnacentral:rRNA from 1 species